rnacentral:rRNA from 1 species
UACGGAGGGUGCAAGCGUUAUCCGGAUUUAUUGGGUUUAAAGGGUCCGUAGGCGGAAUACUAAGUCAGUGGUGAAAUCCUGCAGCUCAACUGUAGAAUUGCCAUUGAUACUGGUUUUCUUGAAUAUGUGCGAAGUGGGCGGAAUAUGACAUGUAGCGGUGAAAUGCUUAGAUAUGUCAUAGAACACCGAUUGCGAAGGCAGCUCACUAGUCCAUUAUUGACGCUGAGGGACGAAAGCGUGGGGAUCAAAC